GACGGGGGGGGCAAGUGUUCUUCGGAAUGACUGGGCGUAAAGGGCGCGUAGGCGGUUCGUACAGUCAGACGUGAAAUCCUGGGCUCAACCUGGGGGCUGCGUUUGAUACGUGCGGACUUGAGUGCGGAAGAGGUCGUGGAAUUCCCAGUGUAGAGGUGAAAUUCGUAGAUAUUGGGAAGAACACCGGUGGCGAAGGCGGCGACCUGGUCCGAUACUGACGCUGAGGCGCGAAAGCGUGGGGAGCAAACAGG
rnacentral:rRNA from 1 species